AGGCCCAGCCCCGGGCUACUGUACCUCUCGCGUCCUCGCGGCGCCGCGCGCCUACGCCACCGAAAUCCCCGCCCGCCCCCUCCUCCCACCAGCUUCCCGGCCGUCGCGCGUGCGGACGAACCUGGCGCACGCGGUACGGGUGCGCUGCCGGAUAGGUUUGGAGGUUUCCACGGCUUUCCAGUCGGUGCGCAUUGGGAUUCGCGUGGUUUCCGCGGCCGGCGCGAGACCGGAGCCUGCGGAGGAUAUGCCGCGCCGCCGCUCAAGCGGAGCGAGUGGAUGGCAAGCGGAGGUGGACUAGAAGAUUCUCCAGGGAAACUGUUAUCAAUCUCCAUUUGCUAGUCAUCGUUACUAAUGCUGGUUCAUCGGGAAAGAACCUAAUCUGAAUCUGUAACAUGUCUUUUUCUGACCCAUCCCUAUUUAAUUUUCUGAUGUCAACAGGGAUCUUUUUUUAUUGUUAGUUCACAAUGAUACUUUCAUUUGGACAUCUUAUUAUGCCAUUGCCACAUGAUUUA